GAUGAACGCUAGCGAUAGGCUUAACACAUGCAAGUCGAGGGGCAGCACUUCGGGUGGCGACCGGCGCACGGGUGAGUAACGCGUAUGCAACCUACCUUCUACAGGGGGAUAACCUCUCGAAAGAGAGACUAAUACCGCAUAAAACAGGGGCACCGCAUGGUGAUAUAUGUUAAAGAUUUAUUGGUAGAAGAUGGGCAUGCGUAACAUUAGCUUGUUGGUGAGGUAACGGCUCACCAAGGCAACGAUGUUUAGGGGUUCUGAGAGGAAGGUCCCCCACACUGGUACUGAGACACGGACCAGACUCCUACGGGAGGCAGCAGUGAGGAAUAUUGGUCAAUGGACGCAAGUCUGAACCAGCCAAGUCGCGUGAAGGACGAAGGUAUUAUGUAUUGUAAACUUCUUUUGCAGGGGAAUAAAGUGAGGCUUGCGAGCCUUUUUGCAAGUACCCUGCGAAUAAGGAUCGGCUAACUCCGUGCCAGCCGCCGCCGUAAAAC
rnacentral:rRNA from 1 species